rnacentral:antisense_RNA from 1 species
GGGCGGGCACAGGUCGUUGUAAUUAUGGCGAGCUCGGCGCCACUGCUGAGCCCGGGACCUCCGAUCCAUCCUCUUAGGCGCACACCGAGAAGCCGGCCUGCCCUCUGGCUCUGCAGAGAGCGGCUCCGAAGCGCAUUGGCUGCUGGAGCCGGGAAAGGUACACCCUAUGAGACUUCAGUGUGCUGAAAGUUCUCCCAUUGAGAGCACUUAUGCAGUUGGGUGAACUAUCUGCAUGAAAGUGACAUUUGCUCAUCUGUCUUUCUCGCUGAAGUCAUCGUCUAAAGGGUCCCUGGAACCUUCUGCAGCUGUGCCUCUCCAGAGCUCCGCCUCAUUAGUGCCACGUUCCUGGUUUGAAAACCAUAGUACUUCAACCUCUUCUAGAUGGGAGUUAACCUUUGCCCUCUGAAAGAAAGGUUUGAUAAGCAAAGAGAGUUUGGUGAGC